UGGGGAAUAUUGCACAAUGGGCGAAAGCCUGAUGCAGCGACGCCGCGUGAGCGAAGAAGUAUUUCGGUAUGUAAAGCUCUAUCAGAAGGGAAGAAAAUGACGGUACCUUACUAAGAAGCUCCGGCUAAAUACGUGCCAGCAGCCGCGGUAAUACGUAUGGAGCAAGCGUUAUCCGGAUUUACUGGGUGUAAAGGGAGUGUAGGCGGCACUAUAAGUCUGAUGUGAAAACCUAAGGCUUAACCAUAGGAUUGCAUUGGAAACUGUAGAGCUGGAGUAUCGGAGAGGCAAGCGGAAUUCCUGGUGUAGUGGUGAAAUACGUAGAUAUCAGGAAGAACAUCGGUGGCGAAGGCGGCUUGCUGGACGAUAACUGACGCUAAGGCUCGAAAGCGUGGGAAGCGAACAGG
rnacentral:rRNA from 2 species